AAAUAGUUAUAUUAUGCUCAUGCUCCUAGAUGUAUGAAGUCUCGAAGGUAAACAAAUCUAUAUACGAUACUUUUUGUACGCUACAUUGUGAUCAUACAUGCAAGUGGUUUCUGCUAACAUAAAAUCUACGAAUUUGCUUCCAAAUUUCCAGUUUGCAAAAUGCCUUUCAAUUUUGGGGUACUGGGUCGAUCAGUUGCAUGCCAAAUUGAUCACUGUUGUUGAUAUUGAAAUGCCAUUAAUGGAA
rnacentral:lncRNA from 1 species